GGAUGUGAGGGCAAUCUGGCUGUGACAUCUGUCACCCCACUGAUGACCAAGAUUGAUUUGGCUGAUCUGGCUGACUAGGCGGAUGUCCUCUUCCUCCCUCAGUACUCCAUGUGUGUACCUCCUGAAGCGGACCAGUCUUCAGUCAAGGAUAUACGAGUAUACAUGUCUCCCCAGCUAGAACUUCCAAACAAGCUCUCAAGAAGGAGUGAUUUAGACUCAUCAACUUACAAAAUACUUUGCUGUACAAGUUGGGCAAGCUGAGUGAGAUCAUCUAUAAACUAUUAUUAAUUAUUGUUA
ensembl:misc_RNA 7SK 7SK RNA